rnacentral:rRNA from 1 species
CUGCCAAGGGCAUGGCUGGGUAGUGAGGUACGGAAUGGAUGAGGGCUGAAGGCAUCAAAGCGCGAAGCCAACUUCAAGAUAAGAUUGCCCACCGCAAGGGUAAGACCCCAGAAAGACGAUCUGGUUGAUAGGUCGAAGGUGUAAGUGCAGCAAUGUAUUUAGCUUAUCGAUACUAAUAGGUCGAGGACUUGACCAAGAUUUAUU